ACCCUUCCUCUCUGAAGGACAUAUGCCAUUGGACCAGAGGUUUUGAAUCUUCUAGAAAUCACUUUAACAUGCAGGAGAGAAGCAGUCUUUCCUCCACCAAAAACACUAGAGAGUGGAUGAGAGACGAAUCCAUGUGCCCGGAAGCCCGCCUGCACCUGCACACGUUCCUUGGCCUGCACUGCCAAAGAGGCCAGCAUGCUGGCAAUUGAUUGGAAAUCCCUCCUCACCUUCUUUCAACCAUGGUCACAUUUGUGCAAAUGCAAAUUAGCAGCUGGGCAUAGUCAAUAACAUAUGAGACCUGGUCAAGAUUGGGUGGUUCAUCGUAAGUCACCGAUCCCUGACCCAACAUCUGCUUCUUCAUCAGCACGACGGUCAUAACCACAUCUCACUCCCAGCAUGUUUAGAGAACUAAUUAACGCUUAUGAGGUGUUUUGAGAUCACUGAUAAAAGGCACUCUACCUGCCCAGGGUGUUAUUAUAUUAUUUUAUUUUCCUCUUCAUGGUCAGGAUUGAGCCAGUGAUAAUCUAGAAAUGAGGCAAAUUUGUUAAAUGUGUAGUGUGAAGGCCAUCUGAACAAUUGGAUUUCUGUUGGACUAGACAUUGCACUUGAACUAUAUAUAUAAGAAGAGAUGCUGAGCUAUGCUUGGGAAGUCUCAAGUGCUUUCAGAUUUGACUAUCAGGUUACAUUUCAUGACUCUUCUUAGACCUCCUUUGAAAUGGUAAAUCGUUAAGAGCACAGCAUCUGCACACAUUGCCCAUAAAAAUGAACUUAGUACUUGGCUUCAGAAAUGCCCAAACUACACCUGACCUUGUGCAGAUUUGUUUCUGUUCCCCUACAACAGUGGUUAUCAACCUUCCUAAUGCCGAGACCCUUUAAUACAGUUCCUCAUGUUGUGGC